CUGGUAACAUCCAGCUGAUGGUUCUAUUGUUUUAUUUAUUUGGGUGGGGGUUUGGUUUUAUUUUCCAGAGUUUUAGUGAUUUAUUUUUUUGGGACUCACAGUAUUACCUCUUUUCUGGGCUUAAUAGCUGGGACCACAUCCUGUUUUCCUCUGAUGUUUUUACAGGCAGAUAUGGAGGUACCUGCUAGAAGCAUCAGAGUGCCCCUGCAGCACGUGGAGCAGGAUGAAUCCAAAGGCAGGAGGAGUUUUCUUGGAUCUUGGCUGACAGCUGUAAAGGAGCACUGCUGUCCUGCACCCCACAAAGGAUUUCUUCGCCAAAAAGAGGACAGCCCACCAUCCCUAAGCUCUGCUUUCCUGUACCCUGUGUCAAGAAUGGAGGAGGUGCUGGGAGCAGCAGGGUAUCUCCCUUUAGCACAGUCUGUGAUGGGAUGCAAGGCAUGGCUGGAGGAGGAAGGAAAAGCUUUUCCAACCUCCCUCCAAGCUUUGUGUGUUUGCACAGAGCUGGAUGUUGGAAUCAGAGAGCAGCCACCACAAGGAAAGGUUGGGAAAGAAAGGAUGUGGACUUUGUGGCUUAGCCACGGAUGUCAGGCCCCUCACAACAUCCAUCUGUGCUGCAGAAAAAGAACCCCAGUGCUGGGGAGGAAACACCAGCUGCCACCACAGGAAGGAAGGGAUCCCGUGACUGACCCCGUGACCCUUCUUGCCUCCUCAGCUCUUGAGAGGCAUCUGUUGGACUGAAGAUUUAAUAAGGAAUUUGAAGAUUAAAAUCCUAUCAGUUGUCUCCUGCAGCAAUGAAUUGACCAUGUUACAAG